rnacentral:misc_RNA from 1 species
UAGCCGUACCGGAAGGUGCGGCUGGAUCACCUCCUUUCUAAGGAGCACCACGAAAAACACUCCAAUUGGUGGGGUGAAGCCGUGAGGGGUUCUCAUCUGAGUGACGGACGAGAGCCGGGUGCACAACAGCAAAUGAAUCGCCAGACACACUGUUGGGUCUUAGGCAAAACUCAGGCUUGUCCAUGUUGGGCAUUGAUCGGGUGCUGUCCCCCCAUCUUGGUGGUGGGGUGUGGUGUUUGAGUAU